rnacentral:rRNA from 1 species
GACAGAGGUGCCGAGCGUUAGGCGGAAUCACUGGGCUUAAAGCGUGUGUAGGCGGGUCCGUAAGUACCUUGUGAAAUCCCACGGCUCAACCGUGGAACUGCUGGGUAUACUGCGGGUCUUGAGCCACUUAGGGGCAAGCGGAACAAACGGUGGAGCGGUGAAAUGCGUAGAUAUCGUUUGGAACGCCAAUGGUGAAAACAGCUUGCUGGGAGUGUGCUGGACGCUGAGACACGAAAGCCAGGGGAG